CUUAGGGAAAACGGGAACGGUACCCAUCUCAACCGGGGCGACACAACGGGGCGACACGGUAAAAGGGUGAAAGCUUAAAGUUUCCAAAAUUGUGUAGUAUAUAUCUCUAGGCAGUCCAGAGAAAUCACCGAAUUUGAUUUCAAUUUUCUUCUGAGUUGCAAGAACUGAGAAAGAAAUGGCUACAGCAACAUACCCACCUCCACCACCAUAUUACAGGCUCUAUAAGGAUUACAUUCAAGACCCCAAAUCUGCUCCAGAGCCUCCUCCACCAAUUGAAGGGAACUACAUCCUGUAUGGCGCAACAUACACUACGGAUGAUGUACUUCCAAGCUUAGAAGACCAAGGAGUCCGUCAGUUGUAUCCGAAAGGGCUGAAUGUUGACUUCAAGAAGGAACUGAAAUCACUGAAUAGAGAAUUACAGCUACACAUUUUGGAGCUCGCAGAUGUUCUUGUUGAGAGGCCAUCUCAGUAUGCAAGGAGAGUCGAGGACAUAUCUCUUAUAUUUAAAAACAUGCACCAUCUUCUAAAUUCUUUGCGUCCCCAUCAGGCCAGAGCAACGCUAAUUCACAUACUAGAACUUCAAAUACAACGGCGGAGAGAAGCUGUCGAAGAUAUAAAGAGGACUGGCCUUCUCAACACACUGCAUUAGUACUUCUAUGUAUCUAUUGUUGUUUGUAGCAUUUUGUAGCUAUUUUCACUGCCUUGAACAAGGUUCUCGAUCAGCGUAACUCAUUUAGCAUCAAUAUUAAGAAGAGAAGAGGCACAGAAACUUCUGAAGGAGUCACUCGGAUGCUUAGAUGGUCACUAGCCGCCAAGAAUUACUGACAUCUCUUGCCAAAACUUGUUCUUUGCAUGCUGGAUCUGACUAACCUACAAGUGCAUCCCUGAUUCAAUAAACUCAGAUAGUUGACGUCACUAUGGAAAAUUAGAAUGUAAUACUUGUUAUUGCACAUUUUCAUAUUGUAAAAAGCCUCCCACAAGUUUGCUAAACCUAAAAUUGAAGAAUAUGUCUAGUCCUUAGUGUGUCGGUUAACUGCUUUAACUGCUGCCUUCAUGGUCGUAUCAAUGUUGUAAAAGUAGGCAUUCUGGGAGCCUUAACUGAAUUUGAGUUUUUGUUGGCCAUAAUACUUAGUAGGAUGUUCCUCGUCUCAUUAUAUUUCUCAGGA